rnacentral:rRNA from 1 species
UUUCGCCUGUUUAACAAAAACAUUUCCUUUUAGAAUUGUUAAAAGGUAGAGCCUGCCCGGUGUGGAAAUAAACGGCUGCGGUAUCCUGACCGUACGAAGGUAGCAUAAUAAGUAGUCUUUUAAUUGGGGACUGGAAUGAAAGGUUUAAUGAGGGGUAGACUGUUUUAUUAGCAAUGAUAGAAAUUGAUUAACAGGUAAAAAGGCCUGUUUAACAUAAAGUGACAAGAAGACCCUAAGAGUUUGAUAGGAGAUAGUGUAUUUGCGGUGGAUUGGUGAGUGACACGGAAGUAAGUAUUUCUUAGUUGACUGGGGCGGUUUAAAGAGUAUCUUUUUUGGUUAUUACAGGAAUGAGAGUAGUAUUUUAUUAGAAUUAUCCUUGUUGGAAAGCAAAAUUAAUUACCUUAGGGAUAACAGCAUAAUCUUUCUUGAGAGAUCUUAUUGACAGAAAGGUUUGUGACCUCGAUGUUGGAUUCGAAUAACUAUAGGGAGCAGAAUUUCUAUAAGUUGGUCUGUUCCGACCAUUAAAUUUCGACGUGAUCUGAGUUCAAACCGGAG